rnacentral:miRNA from 1 species
GGUAUAAACAUAUAUUCGAGGCACUGGGAAUUUAAAGAACUUUUUCUAUAAUAAUAGUAGUAAUUAAAAGUUAAUACUCCGUAUAUAAUAUGAAG